GCCGGCAUGGCGGAACUGGCAGACGCGCAGGACUUAAAAUCCUGUUCGAGUAAAAUCGAGUGCCGGUUCGAUCCCGGCUGCCGGCA
rnacentral:tRNA from 1 species